rnacentral:rRNA from 1 species
CCUACGGGAGGCAGCAGUGGGGAAUAUUGCACAAUGGGGGAAACCCUGAUGCAGCGACGCCGCGUGAGUGAAGAAGUAAUUCGUUAUGUAAAGCUCUAUCAGCAGGGAAGAAAAUGACGGUACUUGAGUAAGAAGCCCCGGCUAACUACGUGCCAGCAGCCGCGGUAAUACGUAGGGGGCAAGCGUUAUCCGGAUUUACUGGGUGUAAAGGGAGCGUAGACGGCGGUGCAAGUCUGGAGCGAAAGGGGGGGGCUCAACCCCCGGACUGCUCUGGAAACUGUACGGCUGGAGUGCAGGAGAGGUAAGUGGAAUUCCUAGUGUAGCGGUGAAAUGCGUAGAGAUUAGGAGGAACACCGGCGGCGAAGGCGGCCUGCUGGACCGUAACUGACGUUGAGGCUCGAAAGCGUGGGGAGCAAACAGGAUUAGAUACCCCUGUAGUC